rnacentral:tRNA from 1 species
GGGGAGAUGGCUUAGCUGGUAAAGUACUUUUCUUCCAAAUAAGAGUAUGUGUGUUCAAACCUCAGUUUCCACA